GACGAACGCUGGCGGCGCGCCUAACACAUGCAAGUCGAACGAGCGAGAGGAGGUUUACUUUCUCAAGCGAGUGGCGAACGGGUGAGUAACGCGUGAGGAACCUGCCUCAAAGAGGGGGACAACAGUUGGAAACGACUGCUAAUACCGCAUAAGCCCACGACCCGGCAUCGGGUAGAGGGAAAAGGAGCAAUCCGCUUUGAGAUGGCCUCGCGUCCGAUUAGCUAGUUGGUGAGGUAAUGGCCCACCAAGGCGACGAUCGGUAGCCGGACUGAGAGGUUGAACGGCCACAUUGGGACUGAGACACGGCCCAGACUCCUACGGGAGGCAGCAGUGGGGAAUAUUGCACAAUGGGGGAAACCCUGAUGCAGCGACGCCGCGUGGAGGAAGAAGGUCUUCGGAUUGUAAACUCCUGUUGUUGAGGAAGAUAAUGACAGUACUCAACAAGGAAGUGACGGCUAACUACGUG
rnacentral:rRNA from 1 species